rnacentral:sRNA from 1 species
CGGCCCAAAAUGAGCAAGUAAGGAAGAAACAUUAGCAAGAAACAACAGCAAGCUCCCUGAAAUAUCUGGCUCAAACACCAAUUGGAACCAUUCCAUAUACCUUGAAGUCCUGUAAAUUCACAUCCCAUGUCUGGGACAUCAGAGAUAUAUGAUGCCUUUUAUAAUUAUAAAAGCACAAAAGCCCAAGAGGGAAUGUUCCAGAAAUAAAUCCAAACUCCAAAUUGCCUUUGGGUCUCUUUUGUCUAUGCCAUGUGAAAACUAUAUAACAACACUAGGAAACAAAUGGAUCUCUCUCUCUCUCUCUCUCUCUCUCUCUCUCUCUCUCUCUCUCUCUCUCUCUGAGUGUGUGUGUGUGUGUGUGUGUAUUUCAACAUCAACAUUUUAUUCCCACAUAUACCACAUUAUGCUUGUCAUCUUUGGACACUGGUAUUCAAUAGGUUGAACAUAUAAAGAACACAAAAUCCACUCCAAAUUUUACUCUGAAGUUUAAACCUCCUUAAAAGAACACAUAGAAAAAGUGUCCUAGUGAAAAAGGGCUUCUGUUGACAAUGGAACAAUAGAGAAAUACAAUUUUAAGAGUUUCAAGGUAGGACAGAAUAAAUAAAACUCUAGGGUACAAGAGUUUAUUAUAGGGCACAAGAUAUCCACCUAACUAGCCAUACUCAAAAUGCUCUGAAGACCCAGAAAACAAAUAUUUCUAGCUUUUCUUCCUAUAAGGCCCAGAUACCUAUAUAACUAGCAGAUACAUAGUCAUGUUAAUGCAUGUUUCAGACAGUAUGUAGGAAAGAAGUCUAGGUGUAUUAUGAGGACAAGCCAAAUAGAAAUACUUCUUGGAGGAAUCAACUAUCAAUCCUUUCUAUCAGUUCUCAUGCAGAUGUGGAUUCAGCCAUCUACCACUCAGAGGAUCAGACUCCAAGUCUCAGGAAUCAUCUAAAGUCACUCUAAGACUUUGGCUGGGUCCUUCAGAUGCAGAUUAGUCAUAGGCUAGGAUUACAGGGGGAAUGACGUAGAAGAGCUAGGCCCACCUUAGAUUCAGCUCCCAGAAUACCCUUCUACCCUGGAAUUACUAGUUUGGUAUUCUUGUGCUCUUUGAUUAAACUGUUUUUCAUGGCAAUUUCCUCUCUGUCAAAGCACUAGAGGAAUAAUACUUGAUUGGCCAUACAGGGGUGAAGAAUAAGGUUUAAUGUCUUUGGGGAUUGUGAUACCUAACUUCACUUUAUUUAUAAGAAUGGUAACCAGGGUCCAGUGCUCUUAACCACUAAGCCAUCUCUCUGGACCCUGGUUACCAUUCUUAUAAAUAAACAUUUUUAACACAAAGAAUUGCAUUUUAAAAAUGCCG